GGUGCACCAGGCGCGAAAACUUUGCAAUGCGGGAAACCGUGACAAGGGAACUCUGAGUGCCCGUUAAAUCGGGCUGUCCAUCGGUUUAAAUAACCGGUGAAGAAAGGGCCGGGCAAGACCGGUGCCAGCCGCCGCGGUAAUACCGGCGGCUCGAGUGGUGGCCACUAUUACUGGGCUUAAAGCGUUCGUAGCUGGUUUGUUAAGUCUCUGGGGAAAUCUUCCGGCUUAACCGGAAGGCGUCUCAGGGAUACUGGCAGACUAGGGACCGGGAGAGGUGAGAGGUACUCCAGGGGUAGGAGUGAAAUCCUGUAAUCCUUGGGGGACCACCUGUGGCGAAGGCGUCUCACCAGAACGGCUCCGACAGUGAGGGACGAAAGCUGGGGGAGCAAACCGGAUUAGAUACCCGGGUAGUCCCAGCUGUAAACGAUGCGCGUUAGGUGUAUCGGUGACCACGAGUCACCGAGGUGCCGAAGAGAAAUCGUGAAACGUGCCGCCUGGGAAGUACGGUCGCAAGGCUGAAACUUAAAGGAAUUGGCGGGGGAGCAC
rnacentral:rRNA from 1 species